rnacentral:rRNA from 1 species
GGGGGGGGGGGGGGGGGGGGGGGGGGGGGGGGGGGAGGGGGGGGGGGGGAGGGGCUGAGUCGUGUUGGGUGGGUUGGGGGCGGGUGGGUGAGGCGGAGGGAAGCUGCCUGGUAGCGGGGGGUCACUGUUGGACACGAUCGCUAAUCCCGCCGAACCCUGGAUGACACAUUUCGUUUAUUUGCCAUGGGCACUUGCUCCACUACAAGAUGGCCCUGCGUUGUAUUAGCUAGUAGGUGAGGUAAUGGCUCACCUAGGCGACGCUACAUAGCCGACCUGAGAUGGUGAGCGGCCACACUGGGACUGAGACACGGCCCAGACUCCUACGGGAGGAAGCAGUAGGGAAUCGUCGGCAAUGGGGGCAACCCUGACCGAGCAACGCCGCGUGAGUGAAGAAGGUUUUCGGAUCGUAAAGCUCUGUUGUAAGUCAAGAACGGGUGUGAGAGUGGAAAGUUCACACUGUGACGGUAGCUUACCAGAAAGGGACGGCUAACUACGUG